rnacentral:tRNA from 1 species
GCCGAAGUGGUGAAACUGGUAGACACGCUGUGUUCAGGGCGCAGUGCCUGUACGGGCGUGUGGGUUCGAAUCCCACCUUCGGCA